GCAGAGAAUUUAUUUUUUGCCUUUCUGCUCCUGACCUUUGCUGCAGGGAGCUGAACGGUGCAGUCAUCACUCCAUCCCUAUGCAGCUUUUAGAAAACCUCUGCCAACUCCCUGCUGAGCCGGGAUGCUCUGCCUCGGGCUGUGACCCCGGGAGGGAGCACAAACACAGAGCCAUCUUCUGCUGAGAAGUCUUUGACUGAACAGUCAGUUCUACAUCUGGGCCCCCAUCUGUUACCGAACACCUCAAUAACCUUUCACGACGUAAGUAUUCUCCUUUCCCRCGCGCGGGCUCAGGCGUUAUUCCCCAUAC
rnacentral:lncRNA from 1 species